rnacentral:lncRNA from 10 species
GGGAGAGAUGGGCUUACCCAACCAGUCUAGUUAUGCAGCUGAGUGGUGGUUGUGGAGGUGGUUAUGGUGGUCUGAGUAGUGUGAGUGGUGGUUAUGGAGGUGGUUAUGGAGGUCAGAGCAGCUGAGUCGUGGUUAUGGAGGUGGUUAGGGUGAUCAGAGCAUUGUGAGUGGUGGUUAUGGAGGUGGUUAUGGAGGUCAGAGCAGCUGAGUGGUCGUUGUGGAGGCGGUUAGGGUGAUCAGAGUAGUGUGAGUGGUGGUUAUGGAGGUGGUUAUGGUGAUCAGAGCAGUGUGAGUGGUGGUUAUGGAGGUGGUUAUGGAGGUCAGAGCAGCUGAGUGGUGGUUAUGGAGGUGGUUAUGGAGGUCUGAGCAGUGUGAGUGGUGGUUAUGGAGGUGGUUAUGGUGAUCAGAGCAGUGUGAGUGGUGGUUAUGGAGGUGGUUAUGGAGGUCAGAGCAGCUGAGUGGUGGUUAUGGAGGUGGUUAGGGUGAUCAGAGCAGUGUGAGUGGUGGUUAUGGAGGUGGUUAUGGUGAUCAGAGCAAUGUGAGUGGUGGUUAUGGAGGUGGUUAGGGUGAUCAGAGCAAUGUGAGUGGUGGUUAUGGAGGUGGUUAUGGUGAUCAGAGCAAUGUGGGUGGUGGUUGUGGAGGUGGUUAUGGUGGUCAGAGCAGCUGAGUGGUGGUUAUGGAGGUCAGAGCAGCUGAGUGGUGGUUAUGAGGUGGUUAUGGUGAUCAGAGCAAUGUGAGUGGUGGUUGUGG